AUGGCUGCCGCAGCACUGAGGGUCCAGCUGAACGCCCAUAUGGCCGGCAUGUACACCGAGGGUGUGGUGGACGAGGACACGUUCGAGGCGCUGCGGGAGGACGGCAGUGCCGUCGAGGUCGCCCGCCUCUUCAUCAAUGACGCCUACGAGAUCGUCGACGACAUCGACACCCUGAUGGAGCAGCCCGAAGUGGACUUUGACGAGGUGGAAGCCCUGACACAGCAGCUCAUGCGGUGCACCUCCAGUGUUGGUGCACAGCAAGUGAACCUCGCCUGCAUGCACUUCAGCAAUUUCUAUGCCAUAAAAUAUAAAGGAGGGUGCCUCGUGUCAUUGGCUCUUGUUAGGAAUGAGUUCUUUAUUGUGCGACAUGAGUUGGAGGUCAUGAUCAAGCUCGAAGAGCAGAUCGCGGCAUGUGGUCCUAACUCUUAA
rnacentral:rRNA from 1 species